AUGAUAUUUAUUGCAUAAUAUAUGUCUAUAUACAAACUGAUGACUCACCCCCAUCCCCCUCUUAACAUCAUCAGCAAUCACAAUAUUCCUCCAGUGUUGAAUCCCAGUGUUUUGUUUGUUUGAUGUUGGUAAACGCUGCAUGCCAUUAAUAUUCAUCUGGUAUUGAAUACCAGUGUUUUGUUUUUGGUUGGUUGGUUAACGCCGCAUGCCAGCAAUAUUCCUCCGGUAUUGAUCCCAGUGUUUUGUUUGCUUGAUGGUUGGUUAACACUGUAUGCUGCAAUAUUCCUCCGGUAUUGGAUACCAAUGUUUGUUAGUUUGAUGGUUGGUUAACAUCGCAUGUCGCACUAUAUUCCUGUGGUAUUGAUCCCAGUGUUGUGUUUGUUUAAUGGUUGGUUAACGCUGCAUGUCGCAAUAUUCCUCUCGGUAUUGGAUCCCAGUGUUUUGUUUGUUUGAUGGUUGGUUAACACUGCAUGCUGCAAUAUUCCUCCGGUAUUGAUACCAAUGUUUGUUAGUUUGAUGGUUGGUUAACGCCGCAUGUCGCAAUAUUCCUCUGGUAUUGGAUACCAGUGUUUUGUUUGUUUGAUGGUUGGUUAACGCCGCAUGUCGCAAUAUUCCUCCGGUAUUGGAUACCAGUGUUUGUUAGUUUGAUGGUUGGUUAACGCCGCAUGUCGCACUAUUCCUCUGGUAUUGGAUACCAGUGUUUGUUAGUUUGAUGGUUGGUUAACCCUGCAUGCCAUUAAUAUUCAUCUGGUAUUGAAUACCAGUGUUUUGUUUGUUUGAUGGUUGGUUAACGCCGCAUGUCGCCAUAUUCCUCUGGUAUUGGAUCCCAGUGUUUUGUUAGUUUGAUGGUUGGGUUAACGCUGCAUGCUGCAAUAUUCCUCCGGUAUUGGAUACCAGUGUUUUGUUUGUUUGAUGGUUGGUUAAAGCCGCAUGUCGCAAUAUUCCUCUGGUAUUGGAUACCUGUUUUCUUUGAUGGUUGGUUAACGCUGCAUGCCACAAUAUUCCUCCAGUGUAUGUAUGAGUGUGUUUAUACAUAGAGGAUAUUAUAGGUCAUAUGUGACCAUGUCAGACUAUUUACGACACGAGUGCCUAAAUGGUUUUUCCUGAGCGCGAGCGACUGUAAGAAAAAUAUGAACCCCGCUAUUUUCGCCCUUGUAGGUAAUAAAUAUGAGUAUGUGUGUAGGGUGGGUGGGCGGGGUGGGGGUGUAAUGGGUAUGACGUGUGUGUGUAUGGGUGUGACGUGUGUGUGUGAAUAUAGUGUGGAUGAUAUUGCCACGAUGAAUAUAAUUAUCCAUGUUUGAUACAUUGUCCACUAUUUUCUCAGUAAUAUAUAUAUCAAAUAUAUUAAAUAGGCCAUACGUC